rnacentral:sRNA from 1 species
AGCAGCCGCGGUAAUUCCAGCUCCAAUAGCGUAUAUUAAAGUUGUUGCAGUUAAAAAGCUCGUAGUUGAAUUUCGGGGUUAGUAGGUUGGUCAUGCCUCUGGUAUGUACUGGUCUCACUGAUUCCUCCUUCCUGAUGAACCGUAAUGCCAUUAAUUUGGUGUUGCGGGGAAUUUGGACUGUUACUUUGAAAAAUUAGAGUGUUUAAAGCAAGCUAACGCUUGAAUACAUUAGCAUGGAAUAAUGAAAUAGGACGUUCGAUCUUAUUUUGUUGGUUUCUAGGAUUGACGUAAUGAUUAAUAGGGAUAGUUGGGGGCAUUAGUAUUCAAUUGUCAGAGGUGAAAUUCUUGGAUUUAUUGAAGACUAACUACUGCGAAAGCAUUUGCCAAGGAUGUUUUCAUUAAUCAAGAACGAAAGUUAGGGGAUCGAAGACGAUCAGAUACCGUCGUAGUCUUAACCAUAAACUAUGCCGACUAGGGAUCGGAUGAUGUUAAUUUUUAAUGACUCAUUCGGCGCCU